UAGUUUGUAUUGGAUUUAGGAGAAGAAAUACCUCAUAGUGAAAUCUUUUGCUAGAAUUUGACUAUUUCAGCGGCCCUCAACCUUGGCCAUGCAUCAGAGUCACCUGUGAAGCCUUAUAAAAACACUUGCUGAAUCAGAAACUCCAAAGGUAUAACCUGGGCUUCUUUGCCUAAAAAAAAAAAAAAAAAAAAAAAAAAAAAAAAAAAAAAAGCUCCACCAUUGAUUCUAACACACAGCAAGAUUGAGAAUUCUGAUAUAAGUGAUACAUAAAUAGUUCUUUGGUGAGCUUUCUCUGAAAGGAAUUAGUUAGGAUAUUGCCAUAUAAACUUAAAAAAAGGAAAUGCCCCCCCCCCCCCCCCCCCAAGGAGAAUUUGACCACUAGGAAGAGUUACCUUGGUUUCAGGACUCCACGAAACAGCUGUUGCUCUACAAUCUGCACACCUCCAGGCUAUCUUACUUCCAGCAGCUGCAGUAAAUUCCAAGCAUAUUUCCAAUGAACACCAACCCAACCUUUGAAUCUAAAUCCCUCCAAGUCUCUCCUAAAGUUUAACUGCAAAUGUUCACUUUGGUUCAACUUUCCAUUUGCCUUCUAUUAGUCAGCCGUCAUGGUUUAAACAUUUAUAGAUAGAAAAGCUCAGAUACGAUCCAUAUUUUAUUGUAAUCAGAUGUUAACAGGGUUGCUGAUCCUAUCAAGUAUUUGACAACUAUGGACACGUGAAUCUUGGCUUUUUUUUUUUUAAAGUGUCAAUGGAACAUAUUCAGUAUUUAUUGGGACUGCACUGUUGCUGUUGUGGCAUGCACCGGGCAGACAGUAACGCCCUUUGCUCAUAUUCUAAUAGGAAAGCAUUCAUUUGACAAAUGUUUACCGAAUGGGAACAAAGGAUGUAAUCUCUGCCUUCUGGGACACCAAAAGUCUACAAGAAGAAGCAGACGUAAACAAAAACUUUCCCUUCAAUUUGUUAAGUAUCAUGAUAGAAGUAGUUACAAAGGGCCAUGUGAUCACAAAGGAAAAGCAAUCUGUUUGGGGAAAGCUGGUACAGGUCUGCAGGAGAAAGUCACAUCUUAACUGGAAGAAUGUAUGGAAUUUUCCAAGAAGAAGAGGAGAAAGAGUAUUCCAAACAGAAAUAGCACGUGCAAGUCUCAGAAACAACAAAAUCAUGGCACGUUCAGGGAAGAAAGAGAACCGCAGGGAAUAUUUAGCACAAGCCUCACUGACUGGUUCUCUGUCACCAUCCUUAUCAUCACUUUCGAUAACUUCACCAGACUGGCUCUUUCAACUGGCCACAGCCCAAUCUCAAGCAGUGCACAAAGGUUCAGAACCUGAACACCAUGGAGCCCAGGAAAUUCAUCCAGCAUCUCCUUCUUUCAACUGCUUCAAACCUUCUGAAAGAUCGAUGCCUCUUCUUAGAAUUUGGUGUAUCUUCUAACUGCUUACCGAUUAUCUCUGGAAGACACUUAUCUCUAGAGUUUCUCCUUUAUCUUUGAGGACAGCGGCCUAUACCCCGCAAUUAUGUAGCUAAGUAGGUUUUAGGCUUUGCAAAAAAUCAGGAAACUUCUCUAAGAUUUAACAUUUAAUUUGUAAAAUGAGGAAAUUCAACUAGAUCAGUGUUUACCGUAUUGUAUCCUAAGGACACAGCGGUUUUGUGAGAUGAUUAACACAGAUAUGUCACAGAACAAGGUUACCACAGUAAACAAAACUCAGUGUAUAUUUUACACUUACAGCACAUCAGUUUGGACCAGGCUCGGCGGUAGCCUAGUGUUCAGUAAAUAGCUCCUUCCCAUAUUGCGUCGUGCAACCCUAAAGCAAUCACAGUCUAUCCCCCGGCGCACGUUGCCACCCCAAUCAAACCAGUUUCUGUUAAUAAGGGAGAAGGGCGGUUGGAGUGGGUGUGAAUAGAGGCAACCAGCAACGACCGAUAUUGCUGACAUUAUUAUUGAUUAUCUUGAAUUGUCAACUAAAAGUGAAAUUAGGUGGUGUCUGUUUAAGAAUGCAGGGGAGCCCACAAACUAUUUUAAAAGUACGCUGUACAAACUAAAGAGUGUUUUGUGUCCUUCAGAACACCCAGCAUAACAGAUGGACUCAUGUCCCCAGACUGUACUCAUUUAAUAAAUGUUCACUGACAGCCUUACA
ensembl:lncRNA